rnacentral:lncRNA from 1 species
UCCUCGGCGCAGACCCGCGAUUUUGGCGCACGGCCGCGGGGGAGGAGUCUGCCGCUCCGGUCGUGGUCCGCGUGCUGCGCCCGGCUGUCGUCAGAUUUACGUGCUGAACAUGCCGAUGUAAGCGUCCUUGUGAGCAAGCUUAACAAGCUCGUUGUACAUGUCGAGGCCUGGCACGAGCAGAAAGGCGUGCAAGCGCGAACUCAGUUUAAGUUCAAGAGUUCCCCAUCGCGCCAAUUGCUAGUCCCCGGCACUCACUGAAGUUGUCGCUGAGGUUUGUGUGCUCCACCUCCUGGAUGUUGGUGGGGCCAACCACUGUCCCGACCACCUCAGCGAAGCGCCCCUCGUAGGGGGACGAUCCCCCGACGACAGUCACCUCGCCCUUGUCUGAAGUCGUGACGCGAACUG